rnacentral:rRNA from 1 species
UACAGAGGUCCCAAGCGUUGUUCGGAUUCACUGGGCGUAAAGGGUGCGUAGGUGGCCGGGUAAGUCUGAUGUGAAAUCUCCGAGCUUAACUCGGAAAUGGCAUUGGAUACUAUUCGGCUCGAGGGUCGGAGGGGAGACUGGAAUUCUCGGUGUAGCAGUGAAAUGCGUAGAUAUCGAGAGGAACACCAGUGGCGAAGGCGAGUCUCUGGACGACUCCUGACACUGAGGCACGAAAGCUAGGGGAGCAAACAGG